UCCCUUCCACUUCCCCUUCCCCUUCCCUUUCCCUUUCCCCUUCCCCUUCCAACACAGCACACAUACAUGUUCCUCUAUGCUGGUGGCACUCAGGUCAUUUCCAAAUACGUGUGGGUUUGUAUCCAUGGCUGGAAGCUAGAGCUGGAGCUGGAUCCAAAGCUGGAGCAUUUCCAGCUCUCUUUUAAAAAAUAACACCUUUAUUUCUGGCAGAUCCCCUGCAUGUUUCACUCUGUGCUGUCCUUUUCAACCAAGGUUAUCUAGGAAUUAGAAAGCUUUUACUACAGCAGGCGAAACCUCUCCGUGCUUGCAGGACACAAACAUAUCACCUGGGCUGACUGCAUUUCACACAGGGGUGUGCACCACCAAGUCGAUGUCGCUUCUGCAUCCUUUUCCCCUCUGCAUCUACCCACUUGUAAGGAAUUACUCUUACUUCACCUGUUUUCCUAUACCAGGCACCAGUGAGGAUAUCGAGGUUGGAGAGGCAGUCAGCGUGGUGGUGCACAAACCGGAGCAGACAUUUAAGGGGAUGAGAACUGCCGACAGUCUCUACAAGCUAUCUUUUAUUUAUGCCCGCAUUGCGCUGUCUUGGCAGCGUUUGGUUUAGUCCUGGGAUGAAAACCCUGCCUUCUUGUAAACACAGGCAGCCUCACACAUGCCUCUGACACUAAAUAAGUAAAACACACCAUGCACGGAAACACACUUUUAGGAAAACUUCCCCUCGGCACCAGCAUAAUCAGGAGGUACCGAAGAGAUAUCUUGAUCUCUCAAGAGAGAAAGAAUCAAAAUCUUUCUGAAGGAACUGGGUGGAAGUAGGUCCCGGUCAAAAUCCUAAGGAGCAAACACCAAACAUGCAGCUUGGCCGAUGGCUCAGCAUCAGGUUAACCUCGAGUCAACGAGUUAUGAAGUUUUCAGCUCAUACUGAACUUUGUGCAUGGCCUUUGGCGGGUUCUGGUGGAGGACUGUCCCCCUCAGCCGCCCUGCGACACAGCACCAGCAGUCCUCACAGCACCUGCCCUUCGUCCUCACACCUUUCCCUUCCUCACACCCAUGGGACUACCCGCAAGGUGGCUUUGUGGAGGCCCUGCCACCAUCCAUCGUCACCAACCAGUGUGACAGACCAGAUACUGUGGUCCCUAGACAUGGCCUGAGGAGAGGACUGCCCGUCCCUUCUGCUGCAGGCAUUUGCUGUCCUCCACCUCAUCUGUCUGGCUAAGCAAGGAGGACAUGGAGAAGAAGGGGAACCCUCCGGCUCCCCAAAAUGCCAAUUUACGAAUUCAGAAAGAUAGUUUCCUUGUAAGUACUUGCCAUGGUUUCCUCCUCUUGUUAGCUCCACAGAAAGUUGAGCAUCUUUAAAACUGCAUCAGCCUCCCUCGGGGGGUUGUUUUCAGAUCCCUUCUCAACCCGAUUUGGAGCAGGGACGUCAAAGCGAGGCAGUUCUGGUCCCCUGUUAAACUGGGUCCAUCUGGAGCUGGUCUGGGCAGUUGGGGCUGGUGAUGAUGUUCACAGUCUCUUGAAAUAUUUACUUAUCUGACUGACAAGAGAGUUAUUCAGUAAGUUAUGACGCCUGCAGCUCUAUGUAAACAGUUUACAGCGCCGUGAUUGAUGCUGGGCACUGUUUGGAGAGCAGCAGGGCCGGUUGUAUACACUGGGCUUUGGUUUGGAAAGUUCAGCCCCAGGACUGGGCAGUAUUAUACCUCAUAAAUAACAACAGUUAAUCAUUCGGGCUCACGCUGCUUUCAGCACUCAUAAAGCCACACGAGCAUGGCUGAACUAAAACAACAUUAAUUUGUGCAGCCCUUGGCCAUGCAAGAGUCAGGGACCUCGCAGAGGUGCCCAGCAGGGUGGUCACAGUGCCCAGUUCUGCUCUUGCCUCUGCCCCCCAUGCCUGCGAUCUCCAUAACUCUCCAGCACCACUGUGACCAAUCUUCCUUUCAUUUUUCAGUGUCCUACUUGAGAUCUCCAGGGCUUCCCGGAGGUGAUGGGAUUUCUACUCCAAUCUGCUUCCUCAAAGACCUUGCGCUGGCCUGUUGAAAUUUACGCUCAGUACAAGGAGGAUCUCGAUCAAAACGCAGCCUGCCUCUUCCUCCCCAGGGACCUGCUGGAGGAGCACUGCACUUAGAAAAGCAAGUGGAGGUGCCAGGGGGACCGGAGGGACUGCGGGCUGAUGGCACUGCUCUCGGUCUCCAUGGAAAUGUGCCUUGAUGUAAUUAAUGAUAAAGAACCGGGAUGAGAAUAAAAAUGAUUCAGAGAG